GACGAACGCUGGCGGCGUGCUUAACACAUGCAAGUCGAACGGAAAGGCCCUGCUUUUGUGGGGUGCUCGAGUGGCGAACGGGUGAGUAACACGUGAGUAACCUGCCCUUGACUUUGGGAUAACUUCAGGAAACUGGGGCUAAUACCGGAUAGGAGCUCCUGCUGCAUGGUGGGGGUUGGAAAGUUUCGGCGGUUGGGGAUGGACUCGCGGCUUAUCAGCUUGUUGGUGGGGUAGUGGCUUACCAGGGCUUUGACGGGUAGCCGGCCUGUGAGGGUGACCGGCCACAUUGGGACUGAGAUACGGCCCAGACUCCUACGGGAGGCAGCAGUGGGGAAUAUUGCACAAUGGGCGGAAGCCUGAUGCAGCAACGCCGCGUGCGGGAUGACGGCCUUCGGGUUGUAAACCGCUUUCGCCUGUGACGAAGCGUGAGUGACGGUAAUGGGUAAAGAAGCACCGGCUAACUACGUG
rnacentral:rRNA from 1 species